rnacentral:rRNA from 1 species
CGCGGCCUAUCAGCUUGUUGGUGGGGUAACGGCCUACCAAGGCAUCGACGGGUAGCUGGUCUGAGAGGACGAUCAGCCACACUGGGACUGAGACACGGCCCAGACUCCUACGGGAGGCAGCAGUGGGGAAUAUUGCGCAAUGGGCGAAAGCCUGACGCAGCAACGCCGCGUGGGGGAUGACGGCUUUCGGGUUGUAAACCCCUUUCAGUGAUGACGAAAAUGACGGUAAUCACAGAAGAAGCCCCGGCCAACUACGUGCCAGCAGCCGCGGUAACACGUAGGGGGCGAGCGUUGUCCGGAUUUAUUGGGCGUAAAGAGCUCGUAGGCGGUUGCGUAAGUCGGAUGUGAAAACUCAGGGCUCAACCCUGAGCCGCCAUCCGAUACUGCGCUGACUAGAGUCCGGUAGGGGAGCAUGGAAUUCCUGGUGUAGCGGUGAAAUGCGCAGAUAUCAGGAGGAACACCAGUAGCGAAGGCGGUGCUCUGGGCCGGUACUGACGCUGAGGAGCGAAAGCAUGGGUAGCAAACAGGAUUAGAUACCCUGGUAGUCCAUGCCGUAAACGUUGGGCACUAGGUGUGGGACCUACUUAACGGGUUCCGUGCCGUAGCUAACGCAUUAAGUGCCCCGCCUGGGGAGUACGG